rnacentral:other from 1 species
UAUUCCCUGCUGUGUCUGUGAUUGAAGCGACGAUUCUUGAGCCAACACUUCAAGAAGGGGAGCUUUCCCUUACUGACGGCGGACGGGCCCUGAUUAGUUGAUUAAAGGGAUGUCUAAAGUAGUAACAAGGUGCCCACCUAAGAGAUUUAGGUUCAAGUAAGUGGUUCACACGGCGCAGCGGGGCAUUU